GACGAACGCUGGCGGCGUGCUUAACACAUGCAAGUCGAACGGAAAGGCCCUGCUUUUGUGGGGUGCUCGAGUGGCGAACGGGUGAGUAACACGUGAGUAACCUGCCCUUGACUUUGGGAUAACUUCAGGAAACUGGGGCUAAUACCGGAUAGGAGCUCCUGCUGCAUGGUGGGGGUUGGAAAGUUUCGGCGGUUGGGGAUGGACUCGCGGCUUAUCAGCUUGUUGGUGGGGUAGUGGCUUACCAAGGCUUUGACGGGUAGCCGGCCUGAGAGGGUGACCGGCCACAUUGGGACUGAGAUACGGCCCAGACUCCUACGGGAGGCAGCAGUGGGGAAUAUUGCACAAUGGGCGGAAGCCUGAUGCAGCAACGCCGCGUGCGGGAUGACGGCCUUCGGGUUGUAAACCGCUUUCGCCUGUGACGAAGCGUGAGUGACGGUAAUGGGUAAAGAAGCACCGGCUAACUACGUGCCAGCAGCCGCGGUGAUACGUAGGGUGCGAGCGUUGUCCGGAUUUAUUGGGCGUAAAGGGCUCGUAGGUGGUUGAUCGCGUCGGAAGUGUAAUCUUGGGGCUUAACCCUGAGCGUGCUUUCGAUACGGGUUGACUUGAGGAAGGUAGGGGAGAAUGGAAUUCCUGGUGGAGCGGUGGAAUGCGCAGAUAUCAGGAGGAACACCAGUGGCGAAGGCGGUUCUCUGGGCCUUUCCUGACGCUGAGGAGCGAAAGCGUGGGGAGCGAACAGGCUUAGAUACCCUGGUAGUCCACGCUGUAAACGGUGGGUACUAGGUGUGGGGUCCAUUCCACGGGUUCCGUGCCGUAGCUAACGCUUUAAGUACCCCGCCUGGGGAGUACGGCCGCAAGGCUAAAACUCAAAGGAAUUGACGGGGCCCCGCACAAGCGGCGGAGCAUGCGGAUUAAUUCGAUGCAACGCGUAGAACCUUACCUGGGUUUGACAUGGAUCGGGAGCGCUCAGAGAUGGGUGUGCCUCUUUUGGGGUCGGUUCACAGGUGGUGCAUGGCUGUCGUCAGCUCGUGUCGUGAGAUGUUGGGUUAAGUCCCGCAACGAGCGCAACCCUUGUUCACUGUUGCCAACACGUUAUGGUGGGGACUCAGUGGAGACCGCCGGGGUCAACUCGGAGGAAGGUGGGGAUGACGUCAAGUCAUCAUGCCCCUUAUGUCCAGGGCUUCACGCAUGCUACAAUGGCUGGUACAGAGAGUGGCGAGCCUGUGAGGGUGAGCGAAUCUCGGAAAGCCGGUCUCAGUUCGGAUUGGGGUCUGCAACUCGACCUCAUGAAGUCGGAGUCGCUAGUAAUCGCAGAUCAGCAACGCUGCGGUGAAUACGUUCCCGGG
rnacentral:rRNA from 1 species